rnacentral:rRNA from 1 species
UACGUAGGUGGCGAGCGUUAUCCGGAAUUACCGGGUGUAAAGGGUGUGUAGGCGGGUCGGCAAGUCAGGCGUGAAAUGAGAAGGCUCAACCUUCUAACUGCGCUUGAAACUGUCGAUCUUGAGAGUGGGAGAGGUAAACGGAAUUCCUGGUGUAGUAGUGAAGUGCGUAGAUAUCAGGAGGAACACCGGUGGCGAAGGCGGUUUACUGGACCACAACUGACGCUGAGACACGAAAGCGUGGGGAGCAAAC